UCGAUUUGCUGAGAGGGGAAGCGUGGAAUGGUGCGGUCCUCUCCAGGGAGAUUCCACUGUGGGAGAGAGGGACAAAAUCUGGGGGCUCAACAAUCAUUGUGAACUGUAAUUAUGCCAAUAACAACGGGUCUGCUUACAGAACAAGGCACAGCAAGGACACAAGACACAAGCAGAAAAUGUGCUUGAUGUUACCCACUGCAGUCCUUCCACUCUGGGAGAUCCUGAAGACUCAGAAGAGGGACAGGCAAUGGAUUCUGUCUAAACCCCAAGGCCAGGACACUGCCUCAGCUGCGAAGCCGGGAUGCGAUGCUCCAGGGUAUAACCACUGCCCAGAAGCAUAGCUGGUACAAGCUGCAGCCUCAAUCCAGGCAAGGAGCCAGCUCCAAUCAGGAACCAUCAUACUGUUCUCCACAGUGUCUGAUGACCUACAGUUUUGAGCUCAGACUUUCUAAAAUAGCAGGAAAUAAAUGAAAAGAAAACAAAUAGAAGUGGAAGUAAUUUGUCCUUCAUUAAGCCAAACAUACCCACCCUGAUUGAAGCUUGAAAACAAUAUCACCUCUUUCGCUGAUAUUAUUUCUGAAUAAACUGACAGCAGUACAACAUUCUGCCUACAUUCAAGUCCAGGCGCUGUGCUGGGGACACUAUGAGGCAUGCAGAAAUAAAGAAGACAAUCCCUGCCCCUCGGGGAUGGUCAUUAUCAGGUGUGAGGACAGACACUCCUAAAUAACCAAGUGCCCACCGUAACAGAGAGGAGAGCCCAGGAAGGCAGGAAAUUCACUUCGACAGUGAGGCUGGGCACAGCUUUAUGGAAGAGAUAUGCUAACAAUAAGAGGCCAGGCACUGUGGUUCAUGC